GGGGACGUAGCUCAGCUGGGAGAGCGCCUGCCUUGCAAGCAGGCGGUCGCCGGUUCAAGUCCGGCCGUCUCCA
rfam:Thermovibrio ammonificans HB-1, complete genome.